GAUGAACGCUGACAGAAUGCUUAACACAUGCAAGUCGAUGGGGAAGUGGUGCUUGCACCAUGGUAACCAUGGCGGACGGGUGAGUAACACGUAAGGAACUUACCUGCGGGACCGGGAUAACAGCAGGAAACUGCUGACAAGACCGGAUAAGGUCAUUAAGCUGCAUAGCUUAGUGAUGAAAGGAGACGCCUGCGGAGAGCCUUGCGUCCUAUUAGCUAGUUGGAGGGGUAACGGCCCACCAAGGCGAAGAUAGGUAGCCGGCCUGAGAGGGUGGACGGCCACAAGGGGACUGAGAUACGGCCCUUACUCCUACGGGGGGCAGCAGUGGGGAAUAUUGGACAAUGGGGGCAACCCUGAUCCAGCAAUUCUGUGUGCACGAAGACGGUUUUCGGAUUGUAAAGUGCUUUCAGCAGGGAAGAAGGAAGUGACGGUACCUGCAGAAGAAGCGACGGCUAAAUACGUG
rnacentral:rRNA from 1 species